UGGGGAAUAUUGGACAAUGGGCGCAAGCCUGAUCCAGCCAUGCCGCGUGAGUGAUGAAGGCCCUAGGGUUGUAAAGCUCUUUCGCCAGGGACGAUAAUGACGGUACCUGGAUAAGAAGCCCCGGCUAACUUCGUGCCAGCAGCCGCGGUAAUACGAAGGGGGCUAGCGUUGUUCGGAAUCACUGGGCGUAAAGCGCACGUAGGCGGAUCUUUAAGUCAGGGGUGAAAUCCCGAGGCUCAACCUCGGAACUGCCUUUGAUACUGGAGGUCUCGAGUCCGGGAGAGGUGAGUGGAACUGCGAGUGUAGAGGUGAAAUUCGUAGAUAUUCGCAAGAACACCAGUGGCGAAGGCGGCUCACUGGCCCGGUACUGACGCUGAGGUGCGAAAAGCGUGGGGAGCAAAACAGGAUUAGAUACCCUGGUAGUCCACGCCGUAAACUAUGGAUGCUAGCCGUUGGGCAGCUUGCUGUUCAGUGGCGCAGCUAACGCUUUAAGCAUCCCGCCUGGGGGAGUACGGUCGCAAGAUUAAAACUCAAAUGAA
rnacentral:rRNA from 1 species